AUUGAACGCUGGCGGCAGGCCUAACACAUGCAAGUCGAGCGGAUGAAGAGAGCUUGCUCUCUGAUUUAGCGGCGGACGGGUGAGUAAUGCCUAGGAAUCUGCCUGGUAGUGGGGGAUAACGUUCCGAAAGGAACGCUAAUACCGCAUACGUCCUACGGGAGAAAGCAGGGGACCUUCGGGCCUUGCGCUAUCAGAUGAGCCUAGGUCGGAUUAGCUAGUUGGUGAGGUAAUGGCUCACCAAGGCUACGAUCCGUAACUGGUCUGAGAGGAUGAUCAGUCACACUGGAACUGAGACACGGUCCAGACUCCUACGGGAGGCAGCAGUGGGGAAUAUUGGGCAAUGGGCGAAAGCCUGAUCCAGCCAUGCCGCGUGUGUGAAGAAGGUCUUCGGAUUGUAAAGCACUUUAAGUUGGGAGGAAGGGCAGUAAGUUGAUACCUUGCUGUUUUGACGUUACCGACAGAAUAAGCACCGGCUAACUUCGUGCCAGCCGCCGCGGUAAUAC
rnacentral:rRNA from 1 species